rnacentral:tRNA from 4 species
GCGCCCGUAGCUCAACUGGAUAGAGCGUCAGCCUCCGAAGCUGAAGGCUGUGGGUUCAAAUCCCGCCGGGCGCACCA